rnacentral:rRNA from 1 species
GACGAACGCUGGCGGCGUGCCUAAUACAUGCAAGUCGAGCGGACGGAUGGGAGCUUGCUCCCAGACCGUCAGCGGCGGACGGGUGAGUAACACGUGGGCAACCUGCCUGUAAGACUGGGAUAACUCCGGGAAACCGGGGCUAAUACCGGAUAACUCUUUCCCUCACAUGAGGGAAAGCUGAAAGAUGGCAUCUCGCUAUCACUUACAGAUGGGCCCGCGGCGCAUUAGCUAGUUGGUGAGGUAACGGCUCACCAAGGCGACGAUGCGUAGCCGACCUGAGAGGGUGAUCGGCCACACUGGGACUGAGACACGGCCCAGACUCCUACGGGAGGCAGCAGUAGGGAAUCUUCCGCAAUGGACGAAAGUCUGACGGAGCAACGCCGCGUGAGUGAUGAAGGUUUUCGGAUCGUAAAACUCUGUUGUCAGGGAAGAACAAGUACCGGAGUAACUGCCGGUACCUUGACGGUACCUGGCCAGAAAGCCACGGCUAACUACGUG